rnacentral:lncRNA from 10 species
GAAGGAACCAACUCUGGACGCCCCUCUUUUAAGAACUGUAACACUCACUGCGAUGGUCCGCGGCUUCAUUCUUGAAGUCAGUGAGACCAAGAACCCACUAAUUCUGGACACACGGGGAUUACAGGCAUGAGCCACUGUGCCUGGCCCAGUUUAAGUUUAAAGUGAAAGUAUUAUCGAAUAAAAUGUUUGUCUGAGCUUGGGCAUUAUAACAAAA